CAUUGGUAGCAGUGGCGGAGGUCCACGGACAACCUCAAGAGUCUACCAGCGCCAGCAUCUUGAAUGAAAAUCUAAGCACCGGCAAUAUCACGGCUGAGAAUAGAUUUUUGGCGAGGUCGUCCUACACGGAAGAUGACGAUGAUACCAUUUGUGUCGCGGCAGACAACAAAUUCUACCUGUAUGCUAAUUCGUUGAAGCUGUAUUCUUGCUACAACCAACUACCGAAAGUUUACGUGGUGAAACCAAAGAGUCAGUGUAAACCAUACCUGUCAGAUUGCCCCAGGAACUAGGAGUAUUGUCCGUUGGCUCGGAUUGAAUCGUCUGCGACGGAGUGAAGACUAAAUGGCUGGUCUGCUGACCGAAGACAUCUGGUGUUUCUAGAGGAGCGAAGAAACUGAAAGAGCGUCAGAACUUGACUCAUUUACUUGAACAUAACCGGUGGAAUCUACACAUCCUAUUCUGUGUUAGCUUCUGAUUACUUCACGACAUGCUGUAUAUUUCAUUACUGUGAAGGUUAGUAUUAAAAACAUUGCAUUUGUUUUCUUUUAAUCUUUCUGUUGUUUCGGUAAUACUUGUAUGCCGACGCAAUAAAAAUGUAGUUUCAUGA